rnacentral:lncRNA from 1 species
AGGAUGCGCCGAGGCCAAUCUUUGAUGGCUGCUGGUUACUUCCUCAUGAGCAGUGUUAGGCUGGGGACAGCAGGCCGGAAAGGAGUGCUUGGAGAGUGUCUUGACCUUCACAGAUGUCUUGCAAAAGGAAUGAUCGAAUGGCACACAUCUGUGAAUAGACAGCCACAUCUCUGCUGCCAGAAUACAGCUGCUGAGGUGUUUGGGGCUUACUUGGAGAAAUGAGGACAUUGAUCUGGGUGAAUGGUAGUAGCUGUACACAUACAAAGUACUGUUCACUUCUUUGCUAAGGUUUUAUGUACACUCUGAGGAUAUCAGAGAAUUCGGAGAAAAUCCAUGGCACAGAUUGG